rnacentral:tRNA from 1 species
GGUGUGUUGGCUCAAUCAGUAGAGCGUCCGCCUCACAACCGGGAGGUCGUCGGAUCAAAGUUCGAACCCCGGCCGCAUCA